UUGGUCACAUUCAACGUAAUCUAUAUAGCAGCAGUGCCCUUAGUCGCCCGCGAGCUCUUCUGCGCGCUAGACGUACGACGAUUAUAAUAAAAACCAAAUAAAAGUAACAAAAUGCCUUGGUGUGUGCUACGAUAUUGCAAAAAUAAUUCCAAAAACGUUUCCAAAUCCGACGGUAUAGCAUUUCAUCGGUUUCCACGUCCAAGUAACGAAAAACGAGAACAGUGGAUCAAGUUUGUCCAAAAUAAUCGCAGCGAAGAGACGUGGCUUCCUUCAGAUUAUAGUUAUAUAUGUUCGUUGCAUUUUCGUGAGAACGAUAAAUAUAUUACAAAAGGGGGAAAGACUUAUUUGAAAAAGUCUGCAGUACCAUAUGAUGAUAAAUACAUAAUAUCUACUCAUGAUGCCAAUGAGCCGAUUUCUGAAUCUGUCAGUGAAUCAGAGUCAGUACUCGAUACCCCGAGAGAAAUAAUCCUGAAACAUACAAUUCAGAACUUAACGUUGG